ensembl:lncRNA
GACGGGGCUGCCCGGGUCCUGGCGCACGUCUGCGGACCGACCCUGGGCAUGAAAAGGUCACAGCCGCCAGGGCUGCGUCUCCGACGGUGGCCACCCUAGGUGUGCCGAUCCCGAGAAGCCGGGACCCCGGGUAACCGGCUGCUCAGCGAAGCCUGCCCCCUCCUCGAGUCCGACGGCAGGGCUUCCCGGUCCUGGGAACCCUGUCUGGGCGCUGCUGACCCAUCUCUCUUGUCGGAUGUCAGAGGGGCUAAUGUGGUUUCCAAAACUGGGAGAGAGGACGAAAGGAAGAGCCUGCGCUCUGUACUUGCUUCAAGGAGACGCAAGAAUCAGAGAACUGGCCCCCGCCCAAGACUGUAAGUGAUGGUCCAAGGAUGGGGUGUACCUGUGGGAACUUUGUGUUGCCUGAAGAGGACCCUGGUUUCAGGACUGGGGUCACACAGUACAGGUGCCCUGGCUGAUGGGCGCAGCCUCACCAGGAACUGCCAAGGUGGUCAUACCCCAAGAGGCCUUCAGGUGUGGUUGGUAGCGAAGGAGGGGCCUCUUUGCCUCAGGUGGAACAGCUUUGCAGUGGCAGUCAUGCUCUGUGGCUGCCCGUGGGAUCAGGCUGAGUUUUCUCUGUCCUCCAGAAAUCUUUAUGAGUAGCUGCUCAAAAGGAUGGGAAGCACUUGGCGUAAUAGUCCUAAGAAAAUCAUCCUGUCUCAACCAGAGCUUGAUCUUCUGCCUGCUGCUCUCAGGCUUGAUCAUGAGACUUGCUUUGGCCAACAACCUGCGAGUGGAGGUGAUGUUUGCUGUUUCUGGGCAGAAGCUCUAAGAGCUAGCCCAUAGUUCUCCACGUCCUCUCCCUGCAUCUGUCUUUGUUAGGAUGUCAGCUUGGGUUCUCAGUGAUUCAAAGCUGGUUGUUGACCCAGGAUGGAUGUGCACGAUUUUUAUUGUAUUCUUGCACAGAGAGUACAAGAGCAAUAUCAAGAAACACACAGCUCUAAGAAUGCAAUUCAUACAAAAGGAAGUAUUUCAGAGAAGACUAUCAUGACUUUUUUUUGGCCAAGCCUGUGGAAGUUCCUUGGCCAGCAGUAGCCCUGUGAUCAGUGACAAAGCCAAGUCCUUAACCUCUAGGGCACCAGGGUUUAUGGUGAAACUGGAGCAGUGAAUUCUGGUGGAAUUACUUGGGAAUACAGGCAUAUGCAUGACAGUCUGGGGAAGCCAUGUUUGUGUUGUUCGAGGUGAAGAAUUAUCAUCAAUAUGCUGCUUACAUCAUAGGCUGUCCAGUGAAGAUGAAGUUUCCAACAAGGGCCUAGAAGCUCAUGAGCAUAAAGUGCUGGUGCCCUCUCAGGAAGGCUGUGAGCUGGAAGUCACUGUAUCCAUGGAGUGUGGAAAAUUCCAUCCUGAUAUGAGCCUGCAAUACCCUCCAGGGAACUAAUCUAAGAAGCUUGGCAGGUGGGGCAGGAACUCUUAGGUGGGGGUGGUUUCUCUGUGGGGCAAGUGACAGAGUCAUGGUCAGGGAGGCCCUUCUGGUAAGAGAAGUGUCAUGGUUACGGUGACUCUGAGUGUAAGAUGUGUUGGCAAAUGGAAGAGAGAAUGGCUGGAUUAAGAACUAGCUGGGUUGAAACUAGGGGAAAUUGAUUGGGAUGAAAGGGUUGGCCUCCCCUUUAGAAAGGGGCUAAAAGUCCAAAUCACCAGGGCUACAAAGACAUGGCAGACUUUAAUCUACUCUUUCCCCAAGGGCCCAAAAGCUCUAAGGAGGGCUUGUCUAGGGUCCUGGCCCAAAACACAUCAGACCUCCCUGGAUGUCCUGAACCGGCACCUAUAGGAGAAGGGCUUGAGAUUCUUUGGGUUUUUUUGUUUGUUUGUUUUGUUUUGUUUGGUCUUUUUAGGGCCACACCCCAGGCUAGGAGUCUAAUCGUAGCUACAGCUGCUGUCAACGGAGGAUCCGAGCUGUGUCUACAACCUACACCACAGCUCACAGCAAUGCCGAAUCCUUAACCCACUAAGCAAGGCCAGAGAUCGAAUCCACAACCUCAUGGUUCCUAGUCAAAUUCAUUUCUGCUGCGCCAUGACCGGAACUCCGGAUUCUGUGUUUUUAAUGAAUGCACCUGAGGAAUUUUUAUGAUGGUAAGUUUGGUAAACACUGCUUUAGUCCCGCCCAGGUUGGGAUCAGAAUUCUCUUACCCAAAAGGCUGGGCAAGAUUGAGAAGCAGGGCUUCUGGUUUCAGAGGGACAUACAAGCAGUCUGUUAGGAGGCAUCCUGGAGCUAGGAUGCUGUCUGGGGGAGCGGGCUGCCACUUCCUGGGUGCUGGAUUUAGAGGACUGAGGUGUUCACAGUGAGGCUCCGGUGCUCAUGGGAACCGAGGUGACCCUGAGGGAGAGAAUGGCAGUCACGCAUCCCAGCCACAGGUGAGGGCUCUUGACGCAAACGGAAGAUUUAGGCUGGGUAGGAUUCCUAUCUCAUGGCCCAGGGAGGCUGUGGGGAAAGGCCGCUCACUCGUGGGUCAACAGCAGGGGGCGUCUCUCCUGAAAAGGAUCUUGUUCUUGGAUGGUAACCACUGGGGUGAACGGACGGUCCUUAGGAAACCAGAGCUCACCACGGAGACUAGACAGGCAGCGAGGUAACCAGUGUGUUUCAAGCCUUUCUCGUUGGGGUCCAGAUGCGAAAGGAGCUGGUGUCCUUGAAGUUCACGGUCUUGAGUUCAUCAGGGUGGCGGUGGGUGUGCCCUGGGAUAGCUGUCCCUAAGAAGAAGGGAGGACCUGAGCCGGGUGGCGCCGAGGAGCCCCUUCCCGAGGAGCCCCUUCCCACCUGGGAGCCCGCCGCCCUGGAGGGUGCCCUUGGGGUGGAUCUUCCUCAGGUGAGACCAGAGCAGGCAGGUCGAGGUGGGCGUGAGAUGUAAGGGAAUGAUUGGUUGUUUGAUCGGCCCAGAGUGGGACUUAUUGGACCGAGAGGUAAUGCUUUUGGCUCUGAUGGUUCCUAGAAACGGAAUGUUUGUGGCCCCACCGGCCCCCUAUUCAUAGUUUGAAACCUAAUCCCCAAUGUGAAGGUGUUUGGAGGCCCUGGGAGGCGAUUAGGGCAUCAGGGUGGGGCCGAUGCGGAUGGAUUCGUGCCCUUGUAAGCGGAGGAAGAGUCGGAGUUCUCCCAUCGCUGCCUGAGGACGAGGCAAGAACACGGGCUCAGGGAACAGUGAGCUGGCCCUCACCAGACUCAGAAUCUGCUUGAUCCUGGACUUUCCAGCCUCUAGGACUGUGAGAAAUAAAUGUCUGCUGUUUAU